UACUUUGCGCAGCGGCACUAUCGUAGCUCAUGAGGAUAAACCGAAGGGCGAUUAUUGCUUGUUGAAAACUUUCCCCAGUACUCCCCCCGCCGGGAGGACUUGAAACACAGGAAUCCAUGGCAAGUUUUGGUGGUCUCCACAGAGA